UCCGGCAGCACCUCCUUUGAAAACUAGCAUAACAAGGAGGGGAAUCAUGAAGCUCAUACAAGAUAUAAAGACAUAUAAUUCACAUAGUAGAAACUGAAAUGCAAUAGUGGCAAAACUUAAUUAUGACCCAACUGAAGCAAAACAAAUGGGAUAAGAAACUCAGCCCACCCCAAAAUAAACGCUCAACCAAGAACAAAGCAAUUCACUAGACUUGUCCAACUCUGAUUAACAACAUUAUUAAAUGGUGGUUCCUUUAUUAAAGGUGUAGUGGCCGUGCUGCUACAUCCCUCUAUUCCCAAAGCAGAAAUUAGGUGCCUGCAUCAAACAAUGCAAGAUGUGAGAUAACACAUCUCAGCAAGUAAACAUAACAACAACAAAUAGGACAUUGUAAAUCAACUGUGCUUACACAACCACGUGUUCAGGACUUCUUUCUUUUCUUUUGAACAGUAAAUUGCAGCAAGUAAACAAGUAACUAAAAGCUCAACGCCAAGUAGAAUCACCAUGCACAAGUCCAAAUUAUCCACAUCCACAUAAUAGAUUCAACACCUCUCCCAUGAAUGCACAUGGCUACAAAUGCAAUAAUGACUUCUGCCUCCAUAUCUCUAAGGAUAUGAAGCUGCACCAUACCCCUUCUCGGGCAACAUAUGAUGCUCAAUGUACCGGUACGGUCGGACCAUAAGAUCGCGACGAAACUUCAAUGCAAUGGAUGAUGAGUGCAUUAUGCAUGACAACAUCAUGAGUUCUUCCCAAAUAAAAAUGUGCUAGACAUUUACUUCCACCCAUUCCACAUAAUAACCACUUGAGUAACAUAAUCAAACCUCAAACUCAACAUAUGAAAUUCAUGAAACAUGAACAUUUUCAAAUCAUGGUACUCAAAAGAAACUAUGAAUUUGAACAUAAUAGCACAACAUAAACAAGUAUAAGACUCCUCAUCUGACAGACGGAAUAACCAUCACAGUUUUACUUGCCUUCACCGGAAGUUUGGGCAAAUCCCUAAGAACGAUCUGGGAGUCCACCACCUAUUUUUGACACCCAACUUAGUGCACCAAAUUCACAUAAAAAACUCAACACAACGCCGCACCUACGCGCAAUCUCCAACCCCGCCGCGGGUAACAAUUCUCCCCACACCAACCAAACUGCAGCGACGCUUCUUAACAAUUCCAUAACUUUAAAAUUAAGACAGCAGUGGUGUCAAACAAAAACUCCAGAGGCAACUACAUAAAAUUCCCCACAAGUUUUGUAUACAACUUAUGAUUAAAUUCUAACAUCUAAUUACCCCUAAACGGUCCAUAAAAUAAACCCUGCAAUCUGUUUUUUUUUCUGUUUUGGGCAGCGACAUACUCGGAUUCAAACAGCGAUAACUUUUAAAAUAUAAUUCCGAAUCAAGCGCAUAAGUACUUGUUGGAAAGAUAAGAAAGAGCCCUUCAUGAUUCUUAUACUGAUUAACCCUAAUUACUCCCGAAAAAUCCCCAGAAACUGCUAAUACUGCUGCUGUUCAUCCCCCUGAAAAUCUGUUUUUUUGGACAGCCACAUACCCACAUUCAAACGGUGAUAACUUUCAAUUUAUAACUCCAAAUUGAGCGCAUAAAUACUCGUUGGAAAGGUAAGACAAAGUUCUACAUGAUCCCCAAACUGUUUUCCCUUAAUUUCUCACGAAAAAAACACAGAACUGCUAGAACUACUGCUGUUCAUCCACCACCUAAAAUUCUGGACAGCCCCCUCUACCCAAUCGCAUACGCAACCUCUAAUCAAUUAAAUUGCAGCGCAAAUGAACAAGGGAUGAACACAAAAAUCACCUUGGAUUCUCCCCCUUUCCUUCCUCCCUUCUUCCCUCCACCAAAACGAUUGAAGACUCGCACCACGUGACGAUGAUUCGAGCGGCAAGGAUUGGUACCUUGGGAGGAGGGGAUUGAGGGGGGGGGGCUAGGGUUUGGUGGCUGCAACAAUGGAGAGAGGAGGAGAUGGGCAGGGGGGGCGGCGGCCAAGGGGAAAGAAGUGGGGGGGCGGCUGCACAAGGGGGGAGAAGUGGGGGGGGGGGAAGACGGCUAGGGUUUGGGAGGGUUAAUGGGCCGAAACACCAAUUGCGGCCCAACUAACCCACGCGACAGCUCCCGACCGCAACGCAAGCGUCAAACCAAAUAAAUUCUACUGCCCUAGCUGUGAAUGUUUUCCACAAAAUUCCAAAUCCACAAAACAACAACCGGAUGAGGAAAAAAACAAAAAGAACAACCCCCAACUUCUCUUCUUUGCAAACCGGGUAUCACACUCUACCCCUCUUAAAAAGAAUUUGACCUCGAAUUCUGACGCUUCUAUCGGAAUGACAAAAGAAAAGAUUAAUGAAUCAACAACACUUACCCACAACGAAAAGUUCCGGGUACUUCUGCCGCAUCAGCUCCUCAAGUUCCCACGUAGCCUCACGCUCAGACUGAUUAGUCCAUAAGACCUUGACAUACUUAAUUGAUCUCUUCCUCAACACACACUCCGAGAAUUCCAAUAUACGCACCGGACGACACUCCAGAGUCAGAUCCUGCUGCACCGCAAUUGGUUCCAUCUCAAUCUGAUGGUCCGGAUCCCGCAAGAACUUCCUCAACAUAGAGACAUGAAAAACCGGGUGUACCCCCGCCAUGGAAUUCGGCAGCAGCAAGCGAUAAGCCAGGCUGCCCACUCGAGCCAAGAUAGUGAACGGUCCAAUGUAUCUCGGGCUGAGCUUCCCAGAGACACCGAACCGAACAACUCCCUUAGUGGGUGAUACCCUGAGAAGGACUUGGUCACCCACAACAAAUUCCAGAUCCCGCCUCCUCACAUCAGCAUAACUCUUCUGACGACUCUGAGCUGCCAAAAUAUUCUGACGAAUUUCCCGAACCUUUUCAGAAGUUUGCUGAACCCAAUCAGGACCAACCAGGGAUCUCUCUCCCAAAGUCUCCCAGCACAGAGGAGAGAUACACCGCCUGCCAUACAAAGCCUCAAAUGGUGCCAUCUUGAUGCUAGCCUGGUAGCUGUUGUUAUAAGCAAACUCUGCCAGAGCAAGAUGAUCCUCCCAGCUACCCUUCCAUGACAGAACACAAGCACGCAACAUGUCUUCCAAGAUUUGGAUUGUUCGCUCUAACUGACCAUCCGUCUGAGGGUGAAAAGCGACACUAAGCGAAAGCUUGGUGCCCAAAGCACUAUGGAGACUCUCCCAGAAUUUGGAUACAAAUUUGGAGUCUCGAUCAGAAACAAUAGACUUAGGUACCCCGUGAAGCCUGACUACUUCCUUCAUAUACAAGGGAACCAAAUCUGAAGCUAAAUUUGUGGUCUUCAUGGGAAUAAAAUGCGCAGACUUAGUCAAGCGAUCCACUACCACCCAAAUAGCAUCCCUGCCACGAGGGGAACGAGGUAGACCCACCACAAAAUCCAUGGUGAUAUGCUCCCAUUUCCACUCUGGAAUUUCUAAUGGCUUCAGCAAACCUGCAGGCCGCUUAUGCUCAGCCUUCACGCGCUGACAUACUUCACAGGCGGCCACAUACUUAGAAACGUCAACCUUCAUCCGCUUCCACCAGAAGUUUUGCUUCAAAUCUUGGUACAUUUUGGUUUCGCCAGGAUGGACGGUGUAAGGUGUUUUAUGAGCUUCUCUCAAGAUAUCCAUUUUCACCUCUGAUUUCUGAGGCACACAGAGGCGGCCCCUGAAACGAACCAAAUCAUUCUCAUCAAUGGUGAACUCCCGCGGUUUACCAUCACCCACCCUCUUUAGAGCUUCCUGCAAUAGACGAUCCUGCUGCUGAGCCGCACGCACUCUCUCCAUGAGAGAGGAUUGAAUAAGCAUCUGAGUCUCCUUGCUAGCAGUGCCGACAUAACACAAAGCGAUCCCCAAACGGUCUAGAUCAGCGAUCAACGGCAAGGCCACCUUUGGAACCCCGGACCUGCUAAGGGCAUCAGCCACCACAUUAGCCUUCCCCGGGUGAUAAUGAAUGGACAAAUCAUAAUCUUUAAUCAAUUCCAGCCACCGUCGCUGCCUCAAAUUCAGCUCCUUCUGAGUAAAAAUAUACUUGAGACUUUUGUGAUCGGUGAAAAUGUCACAAGCCUCGCCAUAAAGGUAAUGCCUCCACAACUUUAGAGCAAAAACCACCGCGACCAAUUCCAGAUCAUGAGUUGGAUAAUUCCCCUCAUGCUUCCUCAACUGCCUUGAGCCAUAAGCAAUCACUCUGCCUUCCUGCAUCAGCACACAGCCAAGACCAAUACGCGAAGCAUCCGUAUAAACUGUGAAACGCUUACCGCUCUCAGGCAAAGCUAGGAUAGGGGCGUCCACCAACUUGCUCUUCAAUGACUGAUAACUGACCUCACAAUCGCUGGACCAGACGAAGGGAACACCCUUCUCCAAGAGCCUAGUCAAAGGCUUAGCGAUGCUGGAAAAAUUUGGUACGAAGCGCCGAUAAUACCCAGCAAGCCCCAAGAAACUUCGGAUUUCAGAGACACUAGAAGGUCUCUUCCACUCCACCACAGCCGCAACAUUCUUGGGAUCAACCGCAAUACCCUGCUGAUUAAUCACGUGCCCCAGGAAAGCCACUUUGGAUAGCCAAAAGGCACACUUCUUCAACUUGCCAUAGAAUUGAUUCUUCCUUAGGGCACCCAGAACGAGACAGAGAUGUUGUUCAUGCUCGGCCUCGGUCUUUGAAUAAAUCAAAAUAUCAUCCAGGAAUACGACCACAAAAUCAUCCAGGAAUUCAUGCGGCAUCCUAUCCAUUGCUUCCAUAAAGGCAGCAGGGGCAUUAGUUAAGCCAAAAGACAUGACUAUGAACUCAUAAUGCCCAUACCUGGUGCAAAAGGCGGUCUUCUCAAUAUCCUCCUCACGAAUCCUCAAUUGAUGAUAACCGGAGUUCAAAUCAAUUUUGGAGAACACCUGGGCACCCCUCAACUGCUCAAAGAGGACCUCAAUUCGGGGAAGCGGAUAUUUAUUCUUGAUUGUCACUUGAUUCAAAGCGCGAUAAUCCACACACAGCCGCUUGCUUUUAUCCUUCUUCUCAACAAACAAUACCGGGGAAGCCCAUGGAGACCUGCUAGGCCUAAUGAAGCCCUUAGCCAGCAGAUCAUCCAAUUGCCGCUUUAAUUCAAUCUGCUCCUUUGGAGCCAUUCGAUACGGGGCCUUAUGAAUAGGCUGCGUACCCGGGAUCAGCUUAAUCUCAAAAGCUGCAUCGCGCUCCGGAGGAAUGCCUGGAAGCUCUACCGGAAACACGUCAGCAAAGUCACACACCACCCGGAUGUCCUGCACCCGCAAGGCCUCCGAAACAAACGAAUAGCUAGCGCCAGAGUCAAAAAGAGCAUGGGCUGCAAAUGAAUCAACUGAAAUCGUACCUGUCACCACGUCUCCUUGCUCCCUGCCAUCCGUAGCGGGUAGCACAUAAGCUCUAGAAAUACCCGCAGAAUAGAAGCUCCCAGAGUGAAAUUAACAGAAGAACCCCACUGAGCCACCGGAGGAGGCUGGCGCGGAGCUCCAAACUGAGUCAGCAUAGGGGUAGACGGUGCAGGAGUAGGCGCGACCUGAUACUGAGGGAAACCCUGCAUCGGCACGAACUGAGAAGUCCUAGGCACAUAAAGCUGCUGUGGAGGAAGAGGAACUGAAAACUGCUGCUCAGCACUUGACAUCAUGUUGAUAGUGCCCUGAGAAGAGGAGGAAGUCACCGGCUCCCAUCUGAGCUUCCCAUUGGGAUUCCUCCUACACACCACAUCCUUGUGGUCCUGACUGCAGAUCGAACACCUGCCACUCCACUGGCACUCUGCACGGCGAUGCGCAUCUCCACAGCGGAAACACACCAGCCCUAGCCCGGGCCUAGGAACGGCCCGAAACCUCUGAGUACUUCCUCUCGAAGUACCCGAGUCAGAAGAUUUUCCACGGUAAGGAUGGUGGCGCUGAUGCUGAGACUUGCCCCUCUUGUGAGCUGGACCUCCAGUGUUGCCCCUCCUCGUGUCCUGGCUACGAGGCUGAUCAACACCCGAAGACUUCUGCGACUCCAUGGUAUACUGGUGUUGCAUUUCCACACCUAGCGCCUGCUCCACCGUGGUCCGGAAGUCCACUAACGGAAAGGCCCCCAGUGCAUGCCUGAUAGAAGGCUUCAGACCCUGACGGAACUGGCUCGCCUUCUCCAUCUCAUUAUAAGCCACAUGAGGGACAAAGCGGACCAUCUUGUUGAAGCCCACCUCAUACUCUGUGACCAACUUCUUCUCCGCUUGUAGGACUGCAAGUCAAUCUUCAUCUUCUCCAGAAAGGUGACCGGGUAGAAUCUCCUUUCGAACUGCCUGAUGAAAACAUCCCAUGAUAGGACUCCUGGUGAGGAGGAGUGCGCUGCCUGCACGCCUCUCCACCAAAUUUGCGCCUCUCCCUUCAGCAGCUGAGUGCCAAAGCAAACCCGAUCUCCAUAUGCAAUCUCGAAGACAUUCAUCUUAUUGUCCACAUAAGUCAACCAAUCUGCCGCCUCGACUGGAGUACCACUGCCAUCAAAAGAAUCCAACUUCAUGCCCAUCCACUGCAUCAGAGAAAGACCACUGACUGGAAGGGGCACCUCGGCCCCGCCACCUGGAACAGCACCCGCAGGGACAGCGCCUCCGGGCACUACUCCACCUCCAGCACCCUGAGCAGCACCCGCAGGGGCGACAGGAAUGGCUUGCCUCAGAAGGGCCAACUCCUGCUGCAUGGCCUGCAUUGCGGCUAACAUUGCCGCCGGACUCAUCGAGUCCCCACUAGGAGCUUGCGGACUACCCCGAGCCCUACGAGGCGGCAUAGCUGCAGCCACAGGGAUGAGAAUAAUAAGUAAAUGAGAUAGGCAUAGCAUCGCUUCAGAUAAUGUCAAAGCUAGCACAGACCAUAACAUAAUCAUAUCAAUAGCAAGACAGAAAUCCCAUCCUACAUGUGCAGUGUGUCAAUUUAUUACUACUCCACUUGCUAGGACCUACAGCCUAUCCUCUGAUACCAACUGUAACACCCCACUGGUCACACACAAUGGAUAAUACCACAAACCCCACCCACCAAACUUACUCAACACAAGAGAAGUAAUAAAGAAAGAAUAUAUAGCAAAAUCCGGCAGCACCUCCUUUGAAAACCAGCAUAACAAGGAGAGGAAUCAUGAAGCUCAUACAAGAUAUAAAGACAUAUAAUUCACAUAGUAGAAACUGAAAUGCAAUAGUGGCAAAACUUAAUUAUGACCCAACUGAAGCAAAACAAAUGGGAUAAGAAACUCAGCCCACCCCAAAAUAAACGCUCAACCAAGAACAAAGCAAUUCACUAGACUUGUCCAACUCUGAUUAACAACAUUAUUAAAUGGUGGUUCCUUUAUUAAAGGUGUAGUGGCCGUGCUGCUACAUCCCUCUAUUCCCAAAGCAGAAAUUAGGUGCCUGCAUCAAACAAUGCAAGAUGUGAGAUAACACAUCUCAGCAAGUAAACAUAACAACAACAAAUAGGACAUUGUAAAUCAACUGUGCUUACACAACCACGUGUUCAGGACUUCUUUCUUUUCUUUUGAACAGUAAAUUGCAGCAAGUAAACAAGUAACUAAAAGCUCAACGCCAAGUAGAAUCACCAUGCACAAGUCCAAAUUAUCCACAUCCACAUAAUAGAUUCAACACCUCUCCCAUGAAUGCACAUGGCUACAAAUGCAUUAAUGACUUCUGCCUCCAUAUCUCUAAGGAUAUGAAGCUGCACCAUACCCCUUCUCGGGCAACAUAUGAUGCUCAAUGUACCGGUACGGUCGGACCAUAAGAUCGCGACGAAACUUCAAUGCAAUGGAUGAUGAGUGCAUUAUGCAUGACAACAUCAUGAGUUCUUCCCAAAUAAAAAUGUGCUAGACAUUUACUUCCACCCAUUCCACAUAAUAACCACUUGAGUAACAUAAUCAAACCUCAAACUCAACAUAUGAAAUUCAUGAAACAUGAACAUUUUCAAAUCAUGGUACUCAAAAGAAACUAUGAAUUUGAACAUAAUAGCACAACAUAAACAAGUAUAAGACUCCUCAUCUGACAGACGGAAUAACCAUCACAGUUUUACUUGCCUUCACCGGAAGUUUGGGCAAAUCCUUAAGAACGAUCUGGGAGUCCACCACCUAUUUUUGACACCCAACUUAGUGCACCAAAUUCACAUAAAAAACUCAACACAACGCCGCACCUACGCGCAAUCUCCAACCCCGCCGCGAGUAACAAUUCUCCCCACACCAACCAAACUGCAGCGACGCUUCUUAACAAUUCCAUAACUUUAAAAUUAAGACAGCAGUGGUGUCAAACAAAAACUCCAGAGGCAACUACAUAAAAUUCCCCACAAGUUUUGUAUACAACUUAUGAUUAAAUUCUAACAUCUAAUUACCCCUAAACGGUCCAUAAAAUAAACCCUGCAAUCUGUUUUUUUUCUGUUUUGGGCAGCGACAUACUCGGAUUCAAACAGCGAUAACUUUUAAAAUAUAAUUCCGAAUCAAGCGCAUAAGUACUUGUUGGAAAGAUAAGAAAGAGCCCUUCAUGAUUCUUAUACUGAUUAACCCUAAUUACUCCCGAAAAAUCCCCAGAAACUGCUAAUACUGCUGCUGUUCAUCCCCCUAAAAAUCUGUUUUUUUGGACAGCCACAUACCCGGAUUCAAACGGUGAUAACUUUCAAUUUAUAACUCCAAAUUGAGCGCAUAAAUACUCGUUGGAAAGGUAAGACAAAGUUCUACAUGAUCCCCAAACUGUUUUCCCUUAAUUUCUCACGAAAAAACACAGAACUGCUAGAACUACUGCUGUUCAUCCACCACCUAAAAUUCUGGACAGCCCCCUCUACCCAAUCGCAUACGCAACCUCUAAUCAAUUAAAUUGCAGCGCAAAUGAACAAGGGAUGAACACAAAAAUCACCUUGGAUUCUCCCCCUUUCCUUCCUUCCUUCUUCCCUCCACCAAAACGAUUGAAGACUCGCACCACGUGACGAUGAUCCGAGCGGCAAGGAUUGGCACCUUGGGAGGAGGGGAUUGAGGGGGGGGGGGGCUAGGGUUUGGUGGCU
rnacentral:lncRNA from 1 species